UAUCGUCACUGCUGCAUGUGACUAUGUCAUAAGACAUGCUCCCAUAACAAACAGUAACGGCUCGAUGAGAGAUGAUUUUAUAGUGCUGAAAAAAGCAAUAAAAUGAUUUCACUUGGUCUAGAUUGUGUAAUGCAUUAGGAGAAAAUACUUCAAUGCAGGUAUUUCUGGUAUAAAUUUUUUUCUCAAAUAUAUUAUACUGCUUAUAAUUCUUUUCAAUACAUUUUUAAGAUGUAUAUAUUGUGAAACAAUUAAAACCAAUAAAAUAUUGGAUAUUUCAAAAAAUAUGUUAACACAAAUACAACAGAACGAGUUGUUCCCCUUAGGAACAUUUUGUACGACCCUCUCUCCAAAGUCCUGGAAACUGCUGUCAAAACUCCAUUGGAAUCAUAUACAAUAUAACAUAAUCAUGCUUACACUGAAUUACCUCACAACACGUUCAUAAUAAAGAUACAUUCUCUCCCAACCAAACCCUCGCCUCACCGAUAAAGUAACGGAAUUUUCACGCUGUCAUAACUGUAAUAGAGGCAGCAUAGUAUCACUAGCUACCAAAAUUCUAAAGAAUAUUUAUCUUUUAAAAUCUACCUGUCCGUCAUAUACCCAUGUGUACACUUCAUAAAUAAAUACAAGGAAGCAAAUAUAUAUGGAAAGUAUUCAUUGAACGACGUGUGUAGGACGAGUACGCUUUGGUGCCACCAUAACUUCUUUUAAACAGUCAUGAAUGACAGACAACCAAUUAUUUAUCAAUGUACAGCAUAAAUAAUUAUUGACUCAUAAGACAAUAUAUACUAUAAUAUGAGAUAAUCCACAUAAAUCUACUCGAACGAUGAACCAAACUCAGAAAUGGGUUAGACCUUUUUAGUUUUUGACCAAGAACUUUGGUAAUUAUUGUGGAAGCAGCGAUUUUAUAUCGACAAGACUAGUUUUUUUUUCCUUACGUGGCAAACAAUAUAUACGGAAACAAAAUAAUACGUACUAUGCUGUCUUGUCUUGUGUCAAGUAAUACAGAUAUUUUUCUUCCAAGGUUCUAUACGUUCCUAACCGGUAUUCAUUUCCCAAUAAUGAAUAUAGAGAUCAAACAGUCACUACAACUGACGUAAAUGACGCUCAUUUACGAUUACUUAUACGAUUAGUUCUGCAUUAGUUUUAAGUUAUUAGACUAGCUUUAUGUGACAGCCUGCUGACAGCUGGACCGACCUCUAGGAAAAUUACAUGAAAA